GAUGAACGCUGGCGGCGUGCCUAAUACAUGCAAGUCGAGCGAACAGACGAUGAGCUUUCUCCUCUGACGUUAGCGGCGGACGGGUGAGUAACACGUGGAUAACCUACCUAUAAGACUGGGAUAACUUCGGGAAACCGGAGCUAAUACCAGAUCAUAUAUUGAACCGCAUGGUUCAAUAGUGAAAGACGGUUUUGCUGUCUCUUAUAGCUGGAUCCGCGCCGCAUUAGCUAGUUGGUAAGGUAACGGCUUACCAAGGCGACGAUGCGUAGCCGACCUGAGAGGGUGAUCGGCCACACUGGAACUGAGACACGGUCCAGACUCCUACGGGAGGCAGCAGUAGGGAAUAUUCCGCAAUGGGCGAAAGCCUGACGGAGCAACGCCGCGUGAGUGAUGAAGGUCUUCGGAUCGUAAAACUCUGUUAUUAGGGAAGAACAAAUGUGUAAGUAAAUAUGCACGUCUUGACGGUACCUAAUCAGAAAGCCCCGGCUAACUACGUG
rnacentral:rRNA from 1 species